rnacentral:misc_RNA from 1 species
UCCGGCUUAUCACCGGCAGUCCCCCUAGAGUGCCCAACUAAAUGAUGGCAACUAAGGGCGAGGGUUGCGCUCGUUGCGGGACUUAACCCAACAUCUCACGACACGAGCUGACGACAACCAUGCACCACCUGUACAGGGCCCCGAAGGACACCGUAUCUCUACGGCUUUUCUCUACAUGUCAAGCCCAGGUAAGGUUCUUCGCGUCGCAUCGAAUUAAACCACACGCUCCGCUGCUUGUGCGGGCCCCCGUCAAUUCCUUUGAGUUUUAGCCUUGCGGCCGUACUCCCCAGGCGGGAUGCUUAAAGCGUUAGCUACGGCACAGAGGGGGUCGACACCCCCCACACCUAGCAUCCACCGUUUAGGGCGUGGACUAC